GCUGGGAUAGCUCAGUCAGUAGAGUAGGAGACUCUACAUCUCAGAGUCCUGGGUUCAAGAGUCCUGGGUUCAAGGUCUUUUCCAACU